GACGAACGCUGGCGGCGUGCUUAACACAUGCAAGUCGAACGGAAAGGCCCUGCUUUUGUGGGGUGCUCGAGUGGCGAACGGGUGAGUAACACGUGAGUAACCUGCCCUUGACUUUGGGAUAACUUCAGGAAACUGGGGCUAAUACCGGAUAGGAGCUCCUGCUGCAUGGCGGGGGUUGGAAAGUUUCGGCGGUUGGGGAUGGACUCGCGGCUUAUCAGCUUGUUGGUGGGGUAGUGGCUUACCAAGGCUUUGACGGGUAGCCGGCCUGGGAGGGUGACCGGCCACAUUGGGACUGGGAUACGGCCCAGACUCCUACGGGAGGCAGCAGUGGGGAAUAUUGCACAAUGGGCGGAAGCCUGAUGCAGCAACGCCGCGUGCGGGAUGACGGCCUUCGGGUUGUAAACCGCUUUCGCCUGUGACGAAGCGUGAGUGACGGUAAUGGGUAAAGAAGCACCGGCUAACUACGUG
rnacentral:rRNA from 1 species